rnacentral:rRNA from 1 species
AUUGAACGCUGGCGGCAUGCUUCACACAUGCAAGUCGAACGGCAGCACGGGUGCUUGCACCUGGUGGCGAGUGGCGAACGGGUGAGUAAUAUAUCGGAACGUACCCGGCAAUGGGGGAUAACGUAGCGAAAGUUACGCUAAUACCGCAUAUGCCCUGAGGGGGAAAGUGGGGGAUCGCAAGACCUCACGUUGUCGGAGCGGCCGAUAUCAGAUUAGCUAGUUGGUGGGGUAAAGGCCUACCAAGGCGACGAUCUGUAGCUGGUCUGAGAGGACGACCAGCCACACUGGGACUGAGACACGGCCCAGACUCCUACGGGAGGCAGCAGUGGGGAAUUUUGGACAAUGGGGGCAACCCUGAUCCAGCCAUGCCGCGUGAGUGAAGAAGGCCUUCGGGUUGUAAAGCUCUUUCGGACAGAAAGAAAUCGCCGCUUCUAAUAAAGGUGGUGGAUGACGGUACUGUAAGAAGAAGCACCGGCUAACUACGUGCCAGCCGCCGCGGUAAAAC